rnacentral:rRNA from 1 species
UGCGUAGGCGGGUUUUUAAGUUCAGGGGUGAAAUCCUGGAGCUCAACUCCAGAACUGCCUUUGAUACUGAAGAUCUUGAGUCCGGGAGAGGUGAGUGGAACUGCGAGCGUAGAGGUGAAAUUCGUAGAUAUUCGCAAGAACACCAGUGGCGAAGGCGGCUCACUGGCCCGGUACUGACGCUGAGGCACGAAAGCGUGGGGAGCAAACA